rnacentral:rRNA from 1 species
UAAGGAAUAUUGGUCAAUGGACGCAAGUCUGAACCAGCCAUGCCGCGUGGAGGAUUAAGGCCCUCUGGGUUGUAAACUCCUUUUAUCUGGGAAGAAAUGCUUUGAUUCUUCGAAGCUUGACGGUACCAGAGGAAUAAGCACCGGCUAACUCCGUGCCAGCAGCCGCGGUAAUACGGAGGGUGCAAGCGUUAUCCGGAUUCACUGGGUUUAAAGGGUGCGUAGGUGGGUAGGUAAGUCCGUGGUGAAAUCUCUGAGCUUAACUCAGAAACUGCCGUGGAUACUAUUUAUCUUGAAUAUUGUGGAGGUGAGCGGAAUAUGUCAUGUAGCGGUGAAAUGCUUAGAUAUGACAUAGAACACCAAUUGCGAAGGCAGCUCACUACACAAUCAUUGACGCUGAGGCACGAAAGCGUGGGGAUCAAACAGGAUUAGAUACCCGGGUAGUCC